CUUUGCGCAUGUAAUGGGCAAAAAAGUAUAGUAUGUUUUCUGGGAUUUUUGGUGCAUGAUUAAUAUUUAAAUAUUUGAGAAUGAUGAGUACCUAUGUUUUGCUUCUGAAAAACAAUGAACAUAAACAACUGGGUGCUGGCAAAUAUGUCAUUUCACAAAAUAACUGUAAUAAGAAUGUUUUUAAAUUUUUCUUAUUUAGGUUACAAAACACUUUAGUGUGUCUUUGUUAUAUUUGGUUCUUUAGAAAAAUGUGCGUGACAGACACACAUACCCAGCUAACCUCGUCUGGUCUGUCCAUAAAUACACUAAAUAGAAGAGGAUUUCAUUUAUCAGCUGAUCUCAAUUUAUAUAUAUUUUUUCUUUUUUAGGAAAGCAAUAUUAAAAUUAGGGUUGUGGUAUGGUGUUUUUUUUUAAAAAAACCCAAACCUUUAAGUCCUAAGAGAAAAGAAACUGCUGAUAAAAACUGCUUCCUAGAAAUUAAAAAUGAUAUAUAUUGCCUUCAAUUUUACAAAGCUGUUUGGGUUACUACUUGAAUGGGUCCCUUGUUACACACAAUUUCUGAGGCUUGGCAGCAGCGUGAUUUUCAUAAAUCCAGAUACUACUGUUUCUAACCUAUGACCAUGGUUUAACUGUGCAGGGCCUUUUUAAUUCAUUUAACUCGUUUUAAUUGUCUUUCAGGGGAAGAGAGCUUUCUUUGGCCCGCUUAACUGGCAGGGAAAGCUGCCUGCUUGAGUACUUGGUGCCAUUCAAAGACACCUCUCAUGAAAAUGCAUGCUCGUUCUCACAACUCCUUCACUAACUGUAAUAUUUCUCCCUUACUGUUUAUGUCAGAGAGUCAUUACUGGAAGCUGCUGACAUUUUUGACAUUCAGUAGUAUCAGAAGCACGGUAGGUGGUCCUUAGAUAAUUUUUAGUUGUAUUUUAUGCUCAAGCCAUUGGUAUCAACAGAAGUAAUAUUUUUCCGUACAAAUGUGUAUUGGUCAACAUGCUUAUUUUUUUGUAGAAUUUCUUAUUUCAUUCUACAGAUGAAUGAUUUUAAGCAUGACAUAAUACUUAUAUAUCCUGACAGUGUGUGCUUUGUGGGGGGUUGGGGUUUUUUGGGGGGGGAGGAGGCGGGGGUUGCUUUUGUGGAAGAUCAAUCUCUAUUAGGAAAUCUAUUAUAAUCACUUAUGUUUUACUACAAUGAAAUAAAUAGGCAGCUGCAGUUUCCUGGACUAAUAGCUCUUAGUUUGAUUGCAAGAAGUAGCAAUCAAUGCAGGGUGAAGGAAAGAAACAUUUUUAAUAACUUACACUUUAGAGAUGAGAUCCCUAAAUUAUUACAAACUAUAAGGUUAAGACCUCUUGAAGGAAUCCUAGCUAGUUAAAUAUUUAAAACUCCAGGGCAGUGAACACAUGCACUAAUGAGCUUCAGGCUACUAAAUACCAGAAUCUAGGGGGAGACAUCUUGUUUUAUAUUAGAGACCAUUAGUGAAUAUAAACUGGCCAAAGAAGUGUUUAAUUAAAGAAUUAUAUUUUAUGGGGGAGGAGGAAAAAGAUAUGGAUUGCCAAAUCUGCUAGGUUAUAACUGUAAAAAGCUGGAUUGCUGGUAUAAAAACAGGAACAUAGGUAAUGCCAGACUGGAUCAGGCCCAUAGUUUUUCUAGUCCUGUAUGCUGUCUCUGAUAAUGGCCUGCACUAAAUGCUUCAGAGAAAGAUAGUGGGCAACUAAGGAAUAACUUGCCCAUAGAAGAAGUUCAUUCCUAACCUCUGUCAGCUACAGGUUGCCUUACACCUGGAGCCUGAGGGUUUAUUUCCCUUCUAACAUUUUUUUAAAUUCAUUCUACUGUAACUGUGAUUGUUCUCAUAUGAAAAGUUUCAUAUUGUAAAUAUGACAUCAGGACACACAAUUCUCCCAGCCAAAAUGGAAAUGAUUCACAAAUAAUUGAACCGGAACCACAAGGUUUUCAUGUGAUAUUUGAAAAAAAAAAUCCCAGAAUUCAAAAAUGUAGGAAAACAUAACAACCACAACUGGACAUGUUAUAUUUACUGUCGUAAAAAAAAAAAAAAGAAAUAUGAGGUGAGGAUUUCAGAACUAACUGAAUUGACAUGACGAAGAGUAAAAUGAGAUCCCAUCACACAAAUAUUGUGGAAAAAUGUUUGCUUCAUUGUGUGUGCACACAUGUAUUUUAUGUAAAGUAGCCCUAGUCUGUCUCCUCUCUGAAACCAGAGAAUAUGAGGGGUAAACAGCUCACAGCAACAGAUGAAAGGCUGAUGAAGUUCAGACUCCCUGUUCAAAGGUUUCAACAGUGUAUGAAAUGACAAUCUCAGUUUAUUUGUGUUUCCUAGCUUCUGUGUAUUUGUUCAUCUAUGGAGGCUCCCAAUAUCUUACUCCUAGUUGUGCUGAUCACCCAAACCAUCUGGUUGCAGAUAUAUUCCAUAAAGUAACUUUAAUUGAAUUGAUUUUUCCUGACUUCUAAAGUCCUAUCUGCGUCCAUUGACAAAUCAGAAAUAUUCUUACCUUAACUGAUGAUGCUAAAUCACAGUAACACCCACAAAAAGUCUAGCAUCCCACUCACUCCAUACAGGUCUCCUGCUUCAUGGUCAACAUAAGCCUGUGUUUCCAAUUUUAACCCAAAUUAUGCCUGUGAUAAUAUUGUCUGGAGCUUACAGUUGCUGACAUGGAUAUUGACAAAGACUUAUCCAGUAUUUUAAUAAGAAAACAAAAUACAGGAAAUACUCUAGAGUUUCCAGGUGGAUCAUUAACAAGACGCCUUGGAGGGCUGAGACUGCCAGCCGGCACGGGGAAUGCAUCACAGUUCGUCAUACAACUUAAACUUCUUUUGACAUCUAGUUAUGUCGAAAUGUGACUGAUCACCUAGGGGUCCAGGCUCCUGCGAGGGAAAAGUUCACUGACAGACAGCGAACGAAGCUGAUCUUAAAUGAGAAUCAAGAGAAAGCAGCAUUCCAAUGUCUGACAGUCUGCAGCUGCUACCUGGGUCUGCUUAACGAAGACGAGACUGCUCUGCUGAACAGUUAUAUUAGCAUCUGUAUGCUUCUGUCUCAUUAUCACACAUCUGCCCACCUUUAUUCGAAUGAAGCUCCUUCUGAUCUGACAGCUCAGGCAUUGUCAGUGAGCAGAUAUUAUGGAAGCAGGGUACAGCAGCUUAGGGUGUUAGCUUUUAUUUUCUAAAGACGGUUGUACAGUUUGACAGUACGAUACCACAGAGGUAAAGAAGAUAAUUAACAUAUUGGGCAGUUUCUAAACAAAGCUGAGACAGUUAUGCUGGCAAAACUACUACUACUAGAGAAGCAUUGUUUGCGCUUGAGAAACAUCAAAGGCUUGAAAGACCUUUUAAAAGAGAGAGAGAGAGAGAGAAAGCAAAUGUACCAGUUCCUUUUGGUUUCCCAACAUUUCAAAUAGAAAGAUUUUGGGGUUUUGACCACACUUGACUGGGAAACGUUUUGGUCUGCAAGAAAAACCUGUCACGUCGGUUGAAAAUCUCAGCCUGUUCGGUUUGACUCUUAAAAUAUCUCCCAGGAUUUGAGAAGAAGCUGAAGGGUAUGAUUUUUUUCCCCUUCUUCCUUGAAUUUAUUUUUACCCCUCAGUACAAAAGUGAGGACUUGUGUGAGCUUCACAGAACUCUUAUUUGGGUGGAGAUUUACGCUUCCUAAGCUGGAGAUCACAUAUGGGAUUUUUAGGAAAUGCCAAAAAAUCAUAUGAGAGAGGUUUCAUCAUUUGUCUGCUCAGUAAGAAACUAAAAUGGCUUUCUUUAAAAAACCAAACCAAACCAGAAAAUAGUAUUUUGAGCCCACAAUGUACAUGGACUGAGCUGUGAUGACUGAAUAAGGUGACGUUCAGAUUCUUCUCCGCAGCUCUCAGAAAAGAAAAACAGUACAGCAAUAUAUGACUGUGAUUUAACUUUAAUCAGGUGCUUACAGUACAUACAUGCUCUGCUGUGGUGGACUUGAAUGGCAACUUUGAAUAACGCUUCACAACUGUUUUUUUUAUAUAUAUAUAUGAAGUGAUUUAGCAAAUACGGUCCUUUGAUGCUAUCCUGCUACUUUAAAUCACUAGGAAUACCAGCGUAUCUCUAUGGCAUGUUCCAACAACACAUCCUUGAAAACCCUGAGUAUGGGAGCUCUAAUUCAUGCUUUAAAUAGCAUAAAUAAUAGCCCAGAUUCUCCUGUCUGCGUACAAUGUCAUAAUCUAAGGGCCAGAUCCUCAGCAGGUGUAAAUCAGUAUAGCUUUAUUGAAGCCAAAAUAUUAUUUCCUGACUUCAGUGGAGCUCUGCCAGCUUAUACCAUCUGAGGCUGUAGUUCCAACAGUUUAAAGCAAUUUAAGGACUUUCCUCAUUUCAUUCAGGGCUUUCAUUCCACUGUUAUUUUCUUUGUCCUUGAGAAAGCCCAGGGUUUCCAUGGGUUAAUGGAGAAAUUACUGCUAUUUUGCAACAAUGCAAUCAAAGUCAUUUCAGCAUCCACACUGAUAAAGUAAGAAUAGCUUAUUCAGAUUGGACUGGCAGGCCUGAACUCACAAUUGCAAAGUUUGAAUACAAAAUAAGAUAUUCAUUAAAAAUAAAAAAAAGGAAAGAAAGACAGAAUCCGUUGUCAUUCAUUCUAAAAAGGCAUUACAGACGGCCAACACUGUACAGAAAAAUAGAAGAUGUUGACCUUUUUAUUAUAGACUUUUCUGUACUGCUGCCCUCCUUUCAAAUGCACAUUCCUCCCCCACCCCCACACAUACACAUACACACACACACACACACACUCACUUCAGCUGUAUGUUAUCUCAAAUAAUUACCCUGCGCUUCUGGCUGUCCCUAGUGACUUCUGCUGCUAAAAAAGCUACUCAUUGUCGGUGAGUGAAGAGGGAUUUCAAACCUGCUUCUUGUGGCCCAGCAACAGCUCUUAAUUAACCACUCAGGUAUUGAGAAGCCGCCUAACCCAGCUCCUAUCCAUAUGGCAGGAACAUGUUGGCAGUGAUAAUCACUGAAGGAAAUAUUGUAUCAAAAAAAGGGCUCACAGAACAGAAAGCUUGUGCAAAUUAUUUUUAAUGAUUCUCCUCUGGUGAGCUGGAUUAUUUGUUAUUUCAAGCAGAGGUAGAGCGGGGGUGGGGAGCAGAAUGUAUUUGUCCUUGACCUCUUUCUCCCCUGUACACUUGCCCCUUUGCCCAGUUUUCCCAACCGUAAACCUGAUCCUUAGCACUGACAUAAAGAGAGUGCCCGGGGUACCAUAGAAGGCCCUUCAGGCAUUCUAAAAAGCUUUAGUCCUUAUGAUUUUGAUAAUCCUUUGUUUCUGGUAUGUGACUUGCUUUUUAUACGCACUGGACGUAUACAUUUCCUGCGAGCAAAGCAUUUUAAAUAACUUCAGUAGUGUUCUGUUGGCAGUUUACACACACACACACACACACACUUUUUAUUUCACCCUUGGUUUAUAAAAAAAAAUACGGAUUUGAGUUUAUAAAUCUAAUUAAAAAUGAAGUUGCAUUUACAUUUUAAAACCUUGCGUACGCCAGCAUACUGUGUCAAAAGACAUUAUGUAUGAUUUUACUUUGUGACAGAAACCAUUACAUUUAAAAAUUCAUUACAGCAAGGUUAGUUAGACACAUGAUGGAUGCAGCUUUAAUCCUGCCAUAUAUUAUUACAGUUAAAAUGUAAAUGAUGAAAAAUAUUUUGUGCUUAUCAGCAUUUAUGUGGAAAUGUGUUUUACAGUGAUAUAUGGUGUUAUAUUUCUAUUAUUAUGAUGAGAAGAAAGAAUGAAGUACAAAAAGAUGAAGUGUUUAUUAAAACAUGGUUACUUGAGAUAAAAUAUUCUUGUUGUACAUGACUUUAAACAUAUUUACCGAGGGCAUUUGUCCAAAACAACUGUGAAAUGUGUUUGCUAGGCAAAUCAUUCUUUGUAAUGUUUCUCCCUCUGUUAUAUUGA